CGAGAUUCCGAAAGUAGUGGCGAGCGAAAUCGGAUGAGCCUUUACGUUUUAGCGCGCAGGAUAGUCGAACGGAAUGGAAAGUCCGGCCGUAGCAGGUGAUAGCCCUGUAGACGAAAUUCUGUGUGUGGAACUAAGCGUAAGACAAGUAGGGCGGGACACGUGAAAUCCUGUUUGAAGAUGGGGGGACCAUCCUCCAAGGCUAAAUACUCGUGAUCGACCGAUAGUGAACCAGUACCGUGAGGGAAAGGCGAAAAGAACCCCGGAAGGGGAGUGAAAUAGAUCCUGAAACCGUAUGCAUACAAACAGUAGGAGCCUCCUUGUGGGGUGACUGCGUACCUUUUGUAUAAUGGGUCAGCGACUUACAUUCAGUGGCAAGGUUAACCGAAUAGGGAAGCCGUAGCGAAAGCGAGUCCGAAUAGGGCGAAUUAGUCGCUGGGUGUAGACCCGAAACCAGAUGAUCUAUCCAUGGCCAGGUUGAAGGCACGGUAACACGUGCUGGAGGACCGAACCCACUAAUGUUGAAAAAUUAGGGGAUGAGCUGUGGAUAGGGGUGAAAGGCUAAACAAAUCUGGAAAUAGCUGGUUCUCUCCGAAAACUAUUUAGGUAGUGCCUCAAGUAUUACUGCGGGGGGGGUAGAGCACUGUUAUAGCUAGGGGGGUCAUGGCGACUUACCAAACUAUGGCAAACUCCGAAUACCCGCAAGUACAGCUUGGGGAGACAGAGCACCGGGUGCUAACGUCCGGACUCAAGAGGGAAACAACCCA
rnacentral:rRNA from 1 species